CACUUAGAGAAACAAACCCAAAAUUUAUAAAAGAAAUUAUCAUUUGUUUUUCUAUGUUUUCUUCUCUCUACCCUAAACCUGUCAUCAUCCUCUCUCUCUCUCUCUCUCUAUCUCUUUCCUUCUCUCAUUUUUGUUCUCUCUCUCGCUCUCUCUCAAGAAGAGAACCUCGAUUGAAGCUUCCUUGAAGAUCUAAGUUAGGGUUCAACAAGCUAGUGUACAUGCAUGCAAGCUACGGUUCGAAAAUUUCAAGAGUGAUUUGAAGGUGUAAAAGUCUUGAGAGACCUAGCCUAUAGAAACAUACACACUCAAAGCUUGGAACCAAAGAUAAGUGCAAUGACAAAGUGGAGCAGUGAGCAUUCAAGUCUUCUUUUUCGGAUGUACAUGUGGUCUAGCUGGGAUGUUGUGUUUUUUUUUAAAGUUUUAAGUACUUUUAAAUUUUGAGGCACACUCUAAAUGUUUAAAAUUCUUUUUUGAUGUAUAUAAUUUUAAGUAUGCACAUACUUCCCAAAAUAUUUUUAUAUGGAUUAUUAAGACAUCUUUUUGA